rnacentral:rRNA from 1 species
UUCGCAAUGCCCGAAAGGGUCUGAUCUAUCCCUGGAGGAAGCACGGGCUAAGUUCGUGCCAGCAGCCGCGGUAAGACGAACCGUGCGAACGUUGUUCGGAUUCACUGGGCUUAAAGGGCGCGUAGGCGGAUUGGCAAGUCCGGGGUGAAAUCUUUCAGCUUAACUGGAAAAGUGCCUUGGAUACUGCCAGUCUCGAGGGAGGUAGGGGUCUGCGGAACUUCUGGUGGAGCGGCGAAAUGCGUAGAUAUCAGAAGGAACGCCGGUGGCGAAAGCGGCGGACCGGACCUCUUCUGACGCUGAGGCGCGAAAGCUAGGGGAGCAAACGGGAUUAGAUACCCCGGUAGUCCUAGCCGUAAACGAUGGGCACUAAGUAGAGGGGUUUUAAUC